rnacentral:lncRNA from 1 species
CGUUACAGAAGCAGUCCAGCUCUUCUUUAUUCCAGAGGAAAGUGCUUAUUCUCUAAUGAGCUACAGCUGAAGCGACCCAUGGUUGUUAGAGUGGGCGUCACUAACACUCUGUCAUCCACACGUGAAACAUCUGCAGAGCUGUCAGAAAAAAAGAAAAUACUCAGCAACAUCAGUCGUCCCCCCCGCCCCCCGUAUCAGUCCCUGGUGAGGAGUCUUUGUGGCAGGAACAACCAGGCGUUGCAACACAUUUUUCUCUACAAAAUAAGUGUAGGACAAAAAAUUAUAUUAUCGUUCCCCACGAAAAAACCUCUACAUCCAAAAUUUUUAUUAAAUCACAGUCUAGCCAUUUCAGAACUUGGAAAAAAGAACGCGCUUCUGGGCUGUUGUGAAGCGGUACUGACACGUGUGAGGAAAACAGAGGAGGAAAGGAUGGCCCCAUACUUCAGCAGGUGGAUGCUGGGAUAAACUGGCCCAUACAUCUGUCUUGGCCCCUUAUGAACCCCAGAGGAGCCUGGAAACAUGAAUACAUGUGCAGCGGAGACAAAAAAGUAAAAAAAAAAAAAUUUUUAGGGUGGGGGGGUGUGUUAUCGGACUGCGUUUUAUUAUUUUAUUAUGGAUCCCAUUGCUCACAGCCCCUUUAUUCUCUAUCUGCUCACGUCUAAUUCCUACUUACGCAAAUUCUCUUUUUCCCCUCUUCCUAAGUCUCCCCCAUCCGGUCCUGGUGGCCCAAAGCAACGGUGAAUAAUUCAUGAGGCAGAAAGGUAGGAGGAGUGGAUUGCGGUCACUUUCCCGGCCGCUGGGAAUCAGGCCCGGCGUGUCCAAGAGGGAGGCGGAGGGAUCAUGAAUAAUACAGACCGCAUCUGCAAGGAGUCUCCCGAGCCCCCCACCACAGAGGAAACCCACCCUGCUUCCGCCUGGGGUAGGAAGGGGACUAUCCUGCAGCGGAUCAUCUGACAGGCCCGCAAAGUGGGCUGUGGGCCAGCAGUAGCAGGAGAGAACAGUGUCUAUCCCAGGAGAUCCCUGUCAGCAACGACACCAUCCAUCUUCCUCCUCCACCGUGGAUCCUCACAUCUUCCCAUUGUCUCUGCUUGCUCCCCAUGUCAUCUUAGUAUUACGAUCAUUUUCGACGACUUCUUCAUUCAUUCUCACGUUUGCAUGGGUGGAGAUUCUCCCUUAUAAGCCCAGCACAGAAUUACAUUUUGAAGCUCAGAUGCCAUAAUUAGUGCCUACCCACCACAGACAUUUUACCUCUAUGAAGAAUUUUCAUCCCAGCUCACUGACAGAUGCUGUAAAACACAGUCCUGCUCCAUACAUAACCCAUUUGUGCUGUGGUGCUUACAGCUGGCAAACAUUUUUGCGGAAAAUCUGGAUGAAAUUAACAAUUUAGCUGGCCCUUUUUUUUUGUGGCUGACCACAUCUGGCCCUUUUAGACAGCUCGGCAUUUCCUCGAGCAUUUUAGGUUAAUUACCAUGCUCAAGAGUACUACUGUAGUAUUAUGGAAGUGGAGCUUGACCUAGCAACUUUCAGAUUACAAGCCCGUGUCCUUAACUGCUAUUAUACCUGCUGCACCUACAAGACACCAGCAACUUGCAAUCAAAUGUCAUGUGUACUGACAUCCAUGUGUAUGAGGAUAGAGUACAGUUUUUAGUUCUCACGUCUCGUCCCUCCAUGCAGUGAAUCCCGCCCUAACCAUCUCAGGCUAGUGUGAGCUGUGCACCAAAAAGCCUUUUACUGGCGCCCUGGGAAUAUAAAUCGUUCACACUCUCUACGGAGGCUACUGCUAAGGCACGUUACAUCUUCAAUGUGAAGUUGACUUUGAGCUCAUAAAAAGGGCUGGUGUGACGGCUAUUGCAAUGAUUGACAAUGUAACUGCGUUUCCAGAUCAUUUCUACAUGAUCGUUUAAUGGAGUCUAAUGGCGAUGUCAAAAAAAUUAUAACGCAAAUCUGGUCAAGCUUGUCAUGGGACCCAAAGAAGGUGCAGGAAUCCGUAACGCGUUUUUGGUGCCGAUGAGAAAAAAUCGGAUGGUAAGUAUUAUUGUGCUCCAUUGAUUUGGCCAACGGAAAACGAUUAAAAAAAAAAAAAAAACACAUGGAAAAAACAUACGUGACACAAAACUCCUGUAACAUGAAGCUGGACAGAAACCUUUGAUGGUUCAGAGGAAUCACAUUUUUGAAGAGUUCUGAUUUGUAAUGGCGAUUUCUAUGUGGAACAGUGUUUCGUACAAACUCUUCUGAGAGCAAAGGCAAAAUAUUUGAAUAUUUCACUUUUUCAAACAAACCCUGGAGGUUCCGAGGUGAGGUGAGACCUGCAGACCGUAACUGGCCGACUGUGGACCACGGCUCUGAAUUCUGCCAGUCUUCAUCACAAACUGUCCUUGGCAAGGUGACCAUUUGGCGCUACGAAAUCUUCCGCUUCAUCUCUUCAAGUAUAAUCCUUUUUCGUCUUUGUGCAUUAUUUAUUGAACUUUCCCUUUCUAGAACAAUCAAGGCGACGAAAAGCUUAAGAAUAAUAAUGCAGUCAGCAUUUGGUUAUAUGAAUGAUGCUAUCAUUUUAGUAUCAUGCAAAUAAGACUGUGCCCUUUCACAGAGAGGCAGAAAUUAAUCUUCGUAUUUACACCAUUGCUAUAUAAAUAAACCAUAAGCUGUUUACUGGAUUUUUCUAACA